GAUGAACGCUGGCGGCGUGCUUAACACAUGCAAGUCGAACGAAGCACUUUAUUUGAUUUCCUUCGGGACUGAUUAUUUUGUGACUGAGUGGCGGACGGGUGAGUAACGCGUGGGUAACCUGCCUUGUACAGGGGGAUAACAGUUGGAAACGGCUGCUAAUACCGCAUAAGCGCACAGCAUCGCAUGAUGCAGUGUGAAAAACUCCGGUGGUAUAAGAUGGACCCGCGUUGGAUUAGCUAGUUGGUGAGGUAACGGCCCACCAAGGCGACGAUCCAUAGCCGACCUGAGAGGGUGACCGGCCACAUUGGGACUGAGACACGGCCCAAACUCCUACGGGAGGCAGCAGUGGGGAAUAUUGCACAAUGGGCGAAAGCGUGAUGCAGCGACGCCGCGUGAGCGAAGAAGUAUUUCGGUAUGUAAAGCUCUAUCAGCAGGGAAGAUAAUGACGGUACCUGACUAAGAAGCACCGGCUAAAUACGUG
rnacentral:rRNA from 1 species